rnacentral:rRNA from 1 species
UACGUAGGGUGCGAGCGUUGUCCGGAAUUAUUGGGCGUAAAGGGCUCGUAGGCGGUUUGUCGCGUCGGAAGUGAAAACACGGGGCUUAACUCUGUGCUUGCUUUCGAUACGGGCAGACUAGAGGGAUGCAGGGGAGAACGGAAUUCCUGGUGUAGCGGUGAAAUGCGCAGAUAUCAGGAGGAACACCGGUGGCGAAGGCGGCUUCCUGGACCGACACUGACGCUGAGGCGCGAAAGCUAGGGGAGCAAACGGG